UCCAGAGAUGGAUUGGUGCCUUCGGGAACUGUGAGACAGGUGCUGCAUGGCUGUCGUCAGCUCGUGUUGUGAAAUGUUGGGUUAAGUCCCGCAACGAGCGCAACCCUUAUCCUUUGUUGCCAGCGGUCCGGCCGGGAACUCAAAGGAGACUGCCAGUGAUAAACUGGAGGAAGGUGGGGAUGACGUCAAGUCAUCAUGGCCCUUACGACCAGGGCUACACACGUGCUACAAUGGCAUAUACAAAGAGAAGCGACC
rnacentral:rRNA from 2 species